CGUAGUGGAACGGGUGUGGACGAGACGUGACAGCCUCAUUUCUAGCCCAAGUUGCAGGGGGGGGGAAACACAUCCUCACGGGUGCCCCGUGAGAAUAUGUUCCCCCUCCCCCCAUUUUCAGGACGAUGUGGGUGGGCUACUGCUGUCGUACUCCUGCCCACCGGGUCGCCCCAAAUUAGCGGCGGGCGGCAUCACUGCGCUUUGUGUUCAGCACCAAACAACUGGUGGUAGACGUGAUCCGGACACAGCCGUCGAUUUACUGGGAGCAUGCUGCCUCGCCUAACCAGAUGUGUUGCAAGGCUCCUCUGCUGCACCGGGAACUGAUGUGGCGCCGCGCAAUUCAGGACGCGCACAUGCCGGACAAGAUGAAGGGCGUCCAGCGUGGCCGCAGCUCUGAGCCUGGAGGAGAAGAAGUGCAAGAUCGGCCGAAACAUUCGCCGUCUCGAGGCGUUGGGCGUCCUCGCGCCAUGCGGGCCCAUCGGGGGCAUCCUUGACAUGAUCGUGCAGGUAAGGCGCCUGACGCCGCCCCGCCUGCUUCCUGUCGCCGACGGCGCUUCCCACCCAUCACGAUAUCCGCGGCCAGCGUGUGCGGCGCCGGGGGGUGGAGCUCACGAAACUGGGCCAGACUCUGUGCUGCCUACUCACCAAAAGCGGCUUCCUGGGCCAGCAGGUGGACUACUAUGGACAUUACAUUAAUUCCUGUUUGGACCGGCUGACGGCCGUCGGGUAAGGCGCUCGUCAGCCGCUCCUUGGCACCCACUGGCCUUUGUCGCCUUGCAGGCGACCCGGUGAUAAGAAAAUGGCGCGCGAGCCAAAAAGAAAAUUCCGCUUGUGAGCUACACGGCCACGCGCCUGCACGAGAAAGGCGUUCUGCUGGAGAUCCAGGACCUGCCCCCCACUCAGUUCAAGAAUGUGGUCUUCAAUAUCACCAACGGCGCAGAAAAAGGAAGCUUCCUUGUCAAAGCUCGCUUCCUUGGCGUGGACAUGGAAGAAUUCCACAUCAAAUACCAGAUAACACUAAGCGCGUGUGUCAGAGCCAGCCGUCAAUCAAUUGCUCGUGUGCCUCAAGGACCCCUCCAGGUGCAGUACGACGGUGUGGCGGUGAUGAAGAUGUUUGACAAAGCCAAAGUCAACUUGCUCAUAUUCCUCCUCAAAAAAAAGUUCUUCAACAAAUGAAAAAUAAACCUUGGGGAGCUUACUUUGUUUUCAUCUUUCAAUUGAUCCACAGAUAACCACCAUCACUUUUGUACUGU